rnacentral:rRNA from 1 species
AUGACGGCCAAAGAGGAGGAGGAGGUGGUGAGGAAGGUGCUCGAGGACUCGGCGAUCGAGUUCGAGCGCGCCCAGUGCGACGGCCUUGACAUGCAGAUGGCACUGUCGAUCGCCGGCAACGUCAUCACCCUGGAGCUCGAGGAGAUAGAGGAGCCAGACGACGCAGAGGCACGGUGGGAACCCGACAGUUGUGGGCCAGUCCUGGACGUGGACUAUGACGAUGGCCAUCACGCCGGAGUUGAUGUCUGGGCCUGCCGUGCGGUUAGGGGCCAAUAUGUGGUCACCGCCCCACGUGCCAACGCAGGCACCGCCGCCCCUGCAGUGCAACCAGCACAGGCGUCAUUGGCCCACCUGUGGCAGACGUCGCCCUUCAUUGACCUCAGCACGGACGAGGAAGACGACAACGACGACAUGCAUUGA